rnacentral:rRNA from 1 species
AUUGAACGCUGGCGGCAGGCCUAACACAUGCAAGUCGAACGAGCGGCGGACGGGUGAGUAAUGUAUGGGGAACUGCCCGAUGGAGGGGGAUAACUACUGGAAACGGUAGCUAAUACCGCAUACUAUCGGAUGAACCCAGAUGGGAUUAGCUAGUAGGUGGGGUAAAGGCUCACCUAGGCGACGAUCGCUAGCUGGUCUGAGAGGAUGACCAGCCACACUGGAACUGAGACACGGCCCAGACUCCUACGGUAGGCAGCAGUGGGGAAUAUUGCACAAUGGGCGCAAGCCUGAUGCAGCCAUGCCGCGUGUAUGAAGAAGGCCUUAGGGUUGUAAAGUACUUUCAGCGGGGAGGCGUUACCCGCAGAAGAAGCACCGGCUAACUCCGUGCCAGCAGCCGCGGUAAUAC